UAAAACAUGGAGGGACUUGUUGGCGCUUCACACUUUGGCGGGACAGUCUGAACUUUCAUCAGACGAACCUGAAGUCAGUCAGAAGCUGCAUUCAUGUAGGUGAAUGUAACAGGUGACGGCGCGAGGGCAAAUUCAAAUCCCUGCUCGGCUGGAGCUGCUGAGGAACAAACCCUCUCCAUCCGGGCAGAUCAGCCGUCCUCCGUCUCUGUUUCCACACCUGUUCUUUUCAGAAGGGAGAAAGUUACAGGAAGCUCUCCACAAAGUUGAGGCGUUUCCUCACCUGUUCACAGACCAAAACACACAGACUCAUUCCUGCUGCACAGAUUUGAUAGUUUUUAUGUAUCAUAAAAAAUAUAUAAAGUAACACAAAGGAACCAUUUUUCAUAUUCAUUGGCAGAUAUUUUUUUCUUCUCAAAAAGGAAACGUUUCAAAUGUUAAGAAUGUUUGACUCGUUUCUUGGAGGAACACAUCUCACCGUCUGCAUCGUCUUCAUUCUUUAACCUAAUCUUCAUUAAUAGGAAGAGUGAUUUGUUUGCAGGGCUGCUCAUUUCCUGUGGUGACAGAGGAGGCUGGUCUGCCUCCCACACUCUUGUGGUUGUGUGCUGAAGACGGCGGCGCUGAUGGGCACACAGGGGAACCUGAAAAAUUCAGGGCUGGAGGAAAUUGAAAUCUUUGGGAAAAAGCUUCUUGGUUUUCAUAAAUAUUUCAUGGGGUGAAUUCAAAGUACUGGAGCGGUUUUGGAAAUUAAAAAGCGCUUGUGAAAAAGUGAUGGGAGGAUUUCCAUCUUUAACUUCAGUAAUGACACGUGUAUAAGCAUACAUGUAUUAUGAUAUAGAAAGGUAUUUUUGGAGGAGCGUUCUGAGGAUGAACGGCGGCCGCAGUCUGAUGGAAAACAGGACCCGAUCUCCACCUCUAUCACUGCCCCGUGGUUCCUGAUUUCAUGAGUGAGUUGGUAAUAAUCACGGGUGACUGGAUCUUCACCUUUCUGCUGAAAUCUAUGAGUGAGGCGGCACACAUGGGAAAACUUGGAGGAGUGUUUGCAUUUCCUCCUGAGCUUCCAGGCUGAGGAUGAAACAGAAGAGCAUCCACGUAACAUAUGGAGGCGAUUCGCUCACACUUCACAGCUUACAGCCACUUUUCAUGUUACAUAAAUGUGUUUGGAUCUCCUUCAGCCGUUCUGGGAAACGACGGGGAAACCACACAUGUAAAUAUGCUUUUGACAUUUUGACAGUCUCUAUAAAAACGAAUCAUGGCUGCACACGCUUGUUUAUUUUCUUCUCUCGUCACUGCUGAUCAGGAACGCCGGUCUGAUCAUCCAAUCGCUGCCGAGUUUGAAGGUUCAGACGCCACCACCUCAACUCUGGGUGUUUAUGGCCUCAGAGUCACAAUUCCCUGAAACCAGUUUCCUGCAGAUCUGAUCCGUCCUCACUGCUUCAUCCAGCGUCCUUUGUUACUGUUUACAUGCUUCUUUGUUCCUCAGCUACAAAAGGAAGAAAUCCUUUUUUGAUUUUUUUAAAAAUGUCAAUGAAUCUGAGAAGACUGCAGCCAUUUUCAAAAAGUUCAAACUGUUUAAAAAUAUCUUAAUAAACAAAGUAUUUAUUUUUUUUGGAGUUAAAAACUCCAAAUAAAAAUGUUUUUAAAUAAAAAAAACAUUUAAAGCAUGAAUUAGAGUUAGAUGAGUUUCAAUUCUUACAAGAAAUGUGGGUUAUUUUUGUCUAUAUUUAUAUUUGUAUUUAUUAACCUUUAUUUAGUCAGAAAGUCCCAUUGAGAUGAAAAAAUAUGUGUUUAAACUAAGAAAUCCACAUUUCACAAUUUAGAUUUUUUUAUUAUUGUGGGAGAAAAAAUGGCUUUGUUAAUGAAGUAAAAGUUUGUAUUAAGUUUGCAAAUUGUGUUGUUCUGAAAUUGUUUUGGGAGAAAAAAAAUAAACAUAUAAAUCCUCCUCAAAUAAUGUGUUUAUGUACAUAAUCCGGACAAUGUUGUUUCUUUGUGAAAGAUUUGCCAACCUAUUUUAAAAGAGAAAAAAAA